rnacentral:rRNA from 1 species
AACGAACGCUGGCGGCAGGCCUAACACAUGCAAGUCGAACGGCAGCGGGGGAUAGCUUGCUAUCCUGCCGGCGAGUGGCGGACGGGUGAGUAAGGCAUGGGGAGCUGCCCAAUCGAGGGGGAUAACAACUGGAAACGGUUGCUAAUACCGCGUACGCCCUGCGGGGGAAAGGUGGGGACCAUUUGGCCUACCGCGAUUGGAUGCACCCAUGUGGGAUUAGCUGGUUGGUGAGGUAACGGCUCACCAAGGCGACGAUCUCUAGCUGGUCUGAGAGGAUGACCAGCCACACUGGAACUGAGACACGGUCCAGACUCCUACGGGAGGCAGCAGUGGGGAAUAUUGGACAAUGGGCGCAAGCCUGAUCCAGCCAUGCCGCGUGUGUGAAGAAGGUCUUCGGAUUGUAAAGCACUUUAAGUUGGGAGGAAGGUCAGUAGCUUAAUACGUUGCUGAUUUGACGUUACCGACAGAAUAAGCACCGGCUAACUCUGUGCCAGCCGCCGCCGUAACAC